GACGAACGCUGGCGGCGUGCUUAACACAUGCAAGUCGAACGGAAAGGCCCUGCUUUUGUGGGGUGCUCGAGUGGCGAACGGGUGAGUAACACGUGAGUAACCUGCCCUUGACUUUGGGAUAACUUCAGGAAACUGGGGCUAAUACCGGAUAGGAGCUCCUGCUGCAUGGUGGGGGUUGGAAAGUUUCGGCGGUUGGGGAUGGACUCGCGGCUUAUCAGCUUGUUGGUGGGGUAGUGGCUUACCAAGGCUUUGACGGGUAGCCGGCCUGAGAGGGUGACCGGCCACAUUGGGACUGAGAUGAGGCCCAGACUCCUACGGGAGGCAGGAGUGGGGAAUAGAGCAUAAUGGGCGGAAGCCUGAUGCAGCAACGCCGUGUGCGGGAUAACGGCCUUGUGGUUGUAUUCCGAUUUCGCUUGUGCCGAAGCGUGAGUGACGGUAAUGGGUAAAGAAGCACCGGCUAACUACGUG
rnacentral:rRNA from 1 species